rnacentral:rRNA from 1 species
AUUGAACGCUGGCGGCAGGCCUAACACAUGCAAGUCGAACGAGUGGCGGACGGGUGAGUAAUGUCUGGGAAACUGCCUGAUGGAGGGGGAUAACUACUGGAAACGGUAGCUAAUACCGCAAACCAUCGGAUGUGCCCCGCUGGGAUUAGAUAGUAGGUGGGGUAAAGGCACAACUAGGAGUCGAUCCCUAGCUGGUCUGAGAGGAUGACCAGCCACACUGGAACUGAGACACUGUCCAGCCUCCUACGGGAGGCAGCAGUGGGGAAUAUUGCACAAUGGGAGUAAGCCUGAUUCAUGCAUACCGCGUGUAUGAUGAAGGCCUUCGGGUUGUAAAGUACUUUCAGCGGGGAGGCGUUACCCGCAGAAGAAGCACCGGCUAACUCCGUGCCAGCAGCCGCGGUAAUAC